rnacentral:rRNA from 1 species
UACGAGGGGGGCGAGCGUUGCUCGGAAUUAUUGGGCGUAAAGGGUGCGUAGGCGGUUUGGUAAGUCUUAUGUGAAAUCUACAGGCUCAACUUGUAGUCUGCAUGAGAAACUGCCGGGCUUGAGUAUGGGAGAGGUGAGUGGAAUUCCUGGUGUAGCGGUGAAAUGCGUAGAUAUCAGGAGGAAAACCUGUGGCGAAAGCGGCUCACUGGACCAUAACUGACGCUGAUGCACGAAAGCUAGGGGAGCAAACAGG